GAUGAAUGCUGGCGGCGUGCCUAACACAUGCAAGUCGAGCGGCAGCGAGGGGUGCUUGCACCCUGUCGGCGAGCGGCGAACGGCUGAGUAACGCGUAGGAAUUUGCCCCAAAGUGAGGAAUAACUGCCCGAAAGGGUAGCUAAUGCCGCAUAUGGUCUUCGGAUUAAAGGAUUUAUCCGCUUUGGGAGAAGCCUGCGUUGGAUUAGGUUGUUGGUAGGGUAAUGGCCUACCAAGCCGACGAUCCAUAGCUGGUCUGAGAGGAUGAUCAGCCAGACUGGAACUGAGACACGGUCCAGACUCCUACGGGAGGCAGCAGUGAGGAAUCUUCCACAAUGGGCGAAAGCCUGAUGGAGCAACGCCGCGUGAAGGAUGAAGUCCUUCGGGUUGUAAACUUCUUUUAUGAGUGAAGAAUAUGACGGUAACUCAUGAAUAAGCACCGGCUAACUACGUG
rnacentral:rRNA from 1 species